rnacentral:misc_RNA from 1 species
GCAUUAUUCUUUCCUGAUA